rnacentral:snRNA from 1 species
GUCAUUAGGGGUGAUCUGGGCUAUUUGCUGGCUAACUGGGUGACUAAGUAACCCCUUCCUCCCUAACCAUGUCAUGUGCAUCUUUUCUGAAGCUGCAGGCUCAGUGAAAGGUAAUGACUUUCCUAGACAGAAGAGAGUCGUUGUUAGUCAUAGGUCCAUGCUUCUUUAGAAACUCCAACUGAGCUCUGCUUAUAAAAACAGUAAAGGUACUUUUGUAUAAGUUUUAGUUUUGCACUACUUAGGCAAUAUUUGAAAAACUUAGGCAGGAAUCC